rnacentral:rRNA from 1 species
AGAUUAGUAUUAAUGGUGGCUAGUGGAGGACUAGGAUGUUAUAUUUAAGGACGUUAUCCAACGAAAUCAGCAGGGAGUCAUGAUGAAAGCUGUAAAGGUGGGAAACUAUAAAGGUAUACCUCAUUAUCUUGGGAAUUGAAACAUCUUAGUACCAGGUUGGAGGAAAAAUCAAGCGAGAUUCCGUCAGUAGUGGUGAGCGAAAGCGGAUAGAGUGAUCUGAUUUAGGUCAGGCCGGAUAAUUAAAACCGAAGAGGGUGACAGGCCCGUUUAUUAGCAGGCCAUAACCAAGAGUAGAAUUGUUUGAAGGGAGGUGACCACACAUCUAAGGGUAAAUAAUAUAACAUACCGAUAGUAAAUUAGUACUGUGAGGGAAAGUUGAAAGAGAUAAUAGUGAAAUAGAACCGGAAAUUGGUCAUAUAUGAGCAGACGAAAAUCGUCGUACCUUUUGCAUAAUGGGUUCGCCAGAUAAAUAUUUAGCAAACUUAAGUCGAUAGACGUAGGUGUAGCGAAAGCGAGUUUUAACCGAGCAUUAGUUAAAUAGAGCCCGAAGCCAAGUGAUCUAGCCAUGGGCAGUUUGAAGUUUAUCGAGGAGGUAGAUGGAGGAGCGAACCGGUGAUUGUGGCAAAAAUCUCGGAGGAUCUGUGGUUAGGGGUGAAAAGCCAAUCGAACUUGGGUAGCUGGUUUUCUGCGAAAACUAUUGAAGUAGUGCGUUGAGGGUAUUCUUACACGGUAAAGCACUGAGUAAGCGUAUUUAACCAAACUAUGAAUGUGUAAGAAGAAACUAUGAUAGACAGACAGUGGGCAAGAAGGUCAAUUGUCAAAAGGGGAACAACCAAGAUCAGAAGUUAAGAUCGUUAAAAUAAUCUAAGUGUAAAAGGGAAUUAGUGGAUAAAGACAAUGAGAAAGUAGGCUUGGAACCAGCCAUCUUUGAAAGAUUACGUAACAGUUCACUCAAUGAAUUUUUUAAUCCCUAAAAUUUAGGUGGCUAAAAUUAUGGUAUUAAGCGUAUUGAAACUCUGAAUAGAGUAAAGAUAGUCGUAGUAGCAGANCGUACUGUAAGCUGUAGGAUAAUUUGGGGAGCGAGAGCUAGUGUCAGUAGUGAUAAUGCGAACAUAAGUAACCAAACAGUGUGAGAAACAUUGCUCACGGCCCAAGGUUUCCAAUUAUAGGAUAAUCCGAAUUGGGUUAUACAGCCCCUUAGAGGCUUGAAGCUGAUGGGGAAUUAAAUAAGGUAAGGAAAAAUUUAUUAUAUAAGGCUGUACUAAAACUAACUCAAGUGGGCUUAAAGUGAUGGUAUAAUUUAUCUUAAGGAACUCGGCAAAAUGUCCCUGUAAGUUCGCGAGAAGGGGAGCCGGAAGGGCCAGGGGAGUCAGGUGACUGCUAGUAAAUUUCGGGUGCAGAGAAGAGGGGGUGUCGACUGUUUACCAAAAACAUAGCUUUCAGCAAAGGGCCGGGGGCCUGAAGUAUUGGAGGUGAUGCCUGCCCAAUGAUUGUAUCUAAACCCAAGUAAUAACAUAGGUUAAUUGGUUAAGGGCAAUUAAAUGGCCGCGGUAAAACUGACCGUGAUAAUGUAGCGCAAUCAAUAGCCAAUUAAUUGUUGGCAAGUAUGAAUGGCUUAACGAAUGCCCCACUGUCUCAAGAUAAAAACCAGUGAAAUUGAAUUCGUAGUGAAGAUGCUACGUACAAGUUGUUAGACGAGAAGACCCUAUUGAGCUUUACUGGGGACUUCCAUUGUUUUUUUUGAAUUAUAUUAGGUGGGAUUAAUCACUAUUUAAUUUUUUAAGAACUAAAAUUAUCUAGAUUAAAGAUGUAAGUUGGACAGUUUGGUUGGGGCGACCGCCUUCUAAACAGUAACGAAGGCGUACAUAAGGUAAUAUAUAAUAGAAUAAAGUAAAGGCCUGACAGCAAGGAGGACCUACUGAGCUGACACGGUAUCGUGGGUUAUAAUGAUCCGUUGGUUUAGGGUGGGAUAGCUAACGAGCAACGAAUAAAAGUUACCAUAGGGAUAACAGCGUAAUAUCGUUUGAGAGUUCAUAUCGAUGACGAUGUUUGCNACCUCGAUGUUGAAUUGUGGUUUCCUGGAGGUGCAGCAGCUUCCAAGGGUUGGACUGUUCGUCCAUUAAAACCGUACAUGAUUUGAGUUCAGACCGGCGUGAGCCAGGUCGGUUUCUAUCUACAAUUUGUCAGAAACAUUAGAUAUACUAUAUUCUAGUACGAAAGGACCGAAUAAUAGUUAUCCUCUGGUGAAUCAAUUACGCCAAUUACUGUGGUUUGUUGUUGGGUAGCUACGAUAAUAAAAAUAAUCACUGAAAGCAUCUCGUGAGAAGUUAAAUAUCAAUCUAUGUUUCUAAGGCCGUUUAAGAAUAAGACGUUGAUAGGAUCUGGGUGGUUGGGCUAAAGAUUACUAAGGCUCUAUAUACUAAUCUUU